GAAAAAGAACCUGAAACCGUGUACGUACAAGCAGUGGGAGCACAGGUUUACCUGUGUGACUGCGUACCUUUUGUAUAAUGGGUCAGCGACUUAUAUUCUGUAGCAAGGUUAACCGAAUAGGGGAGCCGGAGGGAAACCGAGUCUUAAUUGGGCGUUAAGUUGCAGGGUAUAGACCCGAAACCCGGUGAUCUAGCCAUGGGCAGGUUGAAGGUUGGGUAACACUAACUGGAGGACCGAACCGACUAAUGUUGAAAAAUUAGCGGAUGACCUGUGGCUGGGGGUGAAAGGCCAAUCAAACCGGGAGAUAGCUGGUUCUCCCCGAAAGCUAUUUAGGUAGCGCCUCGUGAAUUCAUCUCCGGGGGUAGAGCACUGUUUCGGCUAGGGGGCCAUCCCGGCUUACCAACCCGAUGCAAACUGCGAAUACCGGAGAAUGUUAUCACGGGAGACACACGGCGGGUGCUAACGUCCGUCGUGAAGAGGGAAACAACCCAGACCGCCAGCUAAGGUCCCAAAGUCAUGGUUAAGUGGGAAACGAUGUGGGAAGGCCCAGACAGCCAGGAUGUUGGCUUAGAAGCAGCCAUCAUUUAAAGAAAGCGUAAUAGCUCACUGGUCGAGUCGGCCUGCGCGGAAGAUGUAACGGGGCUAAACCAUGCACCGAAGCUGCGGCAGCGACGUUUAUGCGUUGUUGGGUAGGGGAGCGUUCUGUAAGCCUGCGAAGGUGGCCUGUGAGGGUUGCUGGAGGUAUCAGAAGUGCGAAUGCUGACAUAAGUAACGAUAAAGCCUGU
rnacentral:rRNA from 1 species